rnacentral:rRNA from 1 species
UACAGAGGGUGCUAGCGUUGUUCGGAAUCAUUGGGCGUAAAGGGCGUGUAGGCGGUUUGUCAAGUCAUGUGUGAAAUCCCUCGGCUCAACCGGGGAACGACGCAUGAAACUGGCAGCUAGAGUACCAAAGAGGGGGUGGAAUUCCCGGGUGUAGCGGUGAAAUGCGUAGAUAAUCGGGAGGAACACCUGUGGCGAAGGCGGCCCCCUGGUUGGA